AUUGAACGCUGGCGGCAGGCCUAACACAUGCAAGUCGAGCGGCAGCGGGAAAGUAGCUUGCUACUUUUGCCGGCGAGCGGCGGACGGGUGAGUAAUGCCUGGGGAUCUGCCCAGUCGAGGGGGAUAACUACUGGAAACGGUAGCUAAUACCGCAUACGCCCUACGGGGGAAAGCAGGGGACCUUCGGGCCUUGCGCGGAUUGAUGAACCCAGGUGGGAUUGGCUAGUUGGUGAGGUAAUGGCUCACCAAGGCGACGAUCCCUAGCUGGUCUGAGAGGAUGAACAGCCACACUGGAACUGAGACACGGUCCAGACUCCUACGGGAGGCAGCAGUGGGGAACAUUGCACAAUGGGGGAAACCCUGAUGCAGCCAUGCCGCGUGUGUGAAGAAGGCCUUCGGGUUGUAAAGCACUUUCAGCGAGGAGGAAAGGUUGGUAGCUAAUAACUGCCAGCUGUGACGUUACUCGCAGAAGAAGCACCGGCUAACUCCGUGCCAGCAGCCGCGGUAAAAC
rnacentral:rRNA from 1 species